rnacentral:rRNA from 1 species
GACGUAGGGCGCAAGCGUUGUCCGGAUUUAUUGGGCGUAAAGAGCUCGUAGGCGGCUCGUUGCGUCGGCUGUGAAAAUCCGCAGCUUAACUGUGGGCUUGCGGUCGAUACGGGCAUCGCUGGAGUUCGGCAGGGGAGACUGGAAUUCCUGGUGUAGCGGUGAAAUGCGCAGAUAUCAGGAGGAACACCGGUGGCGAAGGCGGGUCUCUGGGCCGAUACUGACGCUGAGGAGCGAAAGCGUGGGGAGCGAACAGG